rnacentral:rRNA from 1 species
AUACCCCAUGUGCUCUACGGAGGAAAGGUUUACCGCCUUGGGAGCAGCGAUUCUCCUAGUCAGGUAGUUGGUGAGGUAACGGCUCACCAAGCCGAAGACGGGUAGCGGGUGUGAGAGCAUGACCCGCCGCAUCGGGGCUGAGACACUGCCCGGACUCCUACGGGAGGCUGCAGUAACGAAUCUUCCGCAAUGGGCGAAAGCCUGACGGAGCAAUGCCGCGUGUGGGAUGAAGCAUCUUCGAUGUGUAAACCACUGUCAGGGUCUAGGAAUACUGACCAGACCCAAAGGAAGGGCCGGCUAAUUCCGUG